CCGUUCUCUUCUUUCCUGCCUGCUCGGCGUCGCUGCGCGUGUCCCUGCCUGGCCGCCCGCCACCGCCCCGCUCUGCCCGGCUCGCUCCCCUCGCGCUCCCGGCCUGUCCGUCUCUCCGCGCCCGUGCCCCGCCGUCCCAGCGCUGCCCUGCGCUCCCCCCGCCGGCCGCCCCCGCAGCCUAUGGCCCUGGAGGGCGCCGCUGCCGCCGCCUGUAUUUCUGCUGUAGGUUCCCACAUCCCUCUUUAAAAAUUCCGCCUAAAAAGCGAAGACGAUUUACCAAAUCUUUCGGGCCGUUGUCCCACGGCAAACUCUCUGAUCAGGUUUACAACUAUCCAGAAGGCCUAGGAGAAGUGCUUUAUAGAGAACAGUUCGACUUCAACGCCGAGCCACCUUGGGAACCUAGCUGAUGAUAGUAGGGUUCCAUCUCCUAACUUGUCCAUUUUGUUGCAUAAUUUAAGGACCCGGAUCUAAGGCUUGGCGGCCUGUCCCUUGUGUUUCUUGGUUUAUGACUGUCGGCUUUGCGGAAUACGGCUGAGAUGAAAGGAUUUCUUGAGGAUGCAAACUAUUCCAUUGGCUUGCUGGAUGAAGGAGCAACUCUUGGAGAUGUUAUUGACAACUAUGUUUAUGAACAUACACUUACUGGAAAAAAUGCAUUUUUUGUUGGUGAUCUUGGAAAGCUUCUGAAGAAACACAACGAAUGGCAGAAUGUGAUGGCACCAGUAAAACCAUUUUACACUGUAAAAUGCAAUUCCACUCCAGGUGUACUUGAGAUUUUGGCAGCUCUUGGAAUUGGGUUUGCAUGUUCUAGUAAAUCUGAAAUGGCAUUGGUACAAGACUUGGGCAUUGCUCCUGAAAACAUUAUAUAUACAAAUCCUUGCAAGCAAGCUUCUCAGAUAAAAUAUGCAGCGAAAGCUGGGGUAAACAUCAUGACUUGUGACAAUGAAAGUGAAUUAAAGAAAAUUGCACGUAACCAUCCAAGUGCUAAGCUCUUACUACGUAUUGCCACAGAAGACAUUAGUGGAGCUGAGGAGAUGAACAUGAAAUUUGGCACCAUGCUGAAGAGCUGUAGGCACCUCAUGGAAUGUGCUAAGGAGCUUGAAGUCCAAAUAGUUGGUGUUAAAUUUCACAUUUCAAGCUCUUGCAAGGAACCUCAAGUGUACAUUCAUGCUAUAUCUGAUGCUCGGUGUGUGUUUGACAUGGCUGAAGAAUUUGGCUUUAAGAUGAACAUGUUGGACAUUGGUGGGGGCUUCACAGGUUCAGAACUUCAGCUGGAAGAGGUUAAUCAUGUCAUCAGUCCAUUGUUGGAUGUCUACUUUCCUGAAGAAUCCGGUGUUAAUGUGAUUGCAGAGCCUGGAUGCUAUUAUGUUUCAUCUGCAUUUACUCUAGCAGUUAACAUCAUUGCAAAGAAAGCUGUUGAAUACGAUAAAUUUCUUCCUUCUGGAAUGGAGCAAACCAGGAGUGAUGAUGAGCCAAUCUUUAUGUACUACAUGAACGAUGGUGUUUAUGGUUCUUUUGCAAGUAAAUUGUUUGAAAAAUUUAAUACCAUCCCAGAGGUUCACAAGGUGAGUCUAUAUCAUAUUCUUACAGAAUUUACAAAGGAUUAUUCUUUUGUGGGGAAAUUCUGCAGAUCCAUUACAAUGGAUCUUAUUCCUGUUCGCAGCUUCUUUGGGGCAGUAACCAGACCUGCCACUCAGACAGUGCAAAUGGCCACACCCCUGAAGACCCAGCCACUUCUAGCCAGUUUGAACUGGCUUUUUAUUUUGCCUUGGAAGGGGUGUGGGUGAGUGGAGGAGUUGUGCUCUGCAGCAGGCUUGCUGAAACACCUUCCCCCCACCCCGUUUUGAUACCAGGGUUGCUGGCUGCAGAAGUUUCCGUUUUAACCUGUCUGGACAUGCCGCUCUGUUGGAACAGCUUCAAGGCAAUUAGAGGAAUAGAGAAGUUGGAAGAAAAGGGCGCAAAAAUGUCUGGCCAGCUGAACUCAGCUUGUUUUGCCGGUCAGCCAUGUGCUACCUGCCUGACUAAUGGGUCCCUGCUCUUUGCAGGUCAGCCAUGCCCCAGACUGCCAGUCUUGGAGGGCUGAGGUAGAGAGCAGCCCAGAGGUGGAGGAACAAGCAGCAGUAAAGGGUGUCUUGGCCCACUACUUGUUUCUAAUUUACUUCACCCUCUUUAACAAGGUGGGAGUCAUCCCUUAUGGAAGCCUGCCUUGCCCACCCUAGGAUUCAGUGAGACAACAUGGGUGUUAACUGUUGUGUAGCACUACAGGGCCCACCAGGGAAUUUAGUGAGACAAAAGGGCUGUGUCAUGUGAUUGUUUUCCCUGCUCCUUCCACAGGCAGGGAUUUAAGGAGCUUCUAUAAAAUUCAAGGGCUCAUCUCAAAAGAACAUUAUUUCUGUAGAACCACACCUGCUAUGCUUUCUCCUGACCCCCUCUGUUGAUAUUCUAUUACCACAGAAUACAGAAGCUGAGAGGGACAUAAAAGGCACACUAUGGACUCUACUCGCAGGUGUCACUCCUGCACAGAGGAAAUUUCUAAGGCUUGAUUUUUUCCUAGUAAAAAGGAGGAGAAAAAGGUGCAGGGACUUCCUUCCACUUGUAGGUCACCACAAUACAGGAAGAACUCAGGUUUUUUUCUUUUGAGGAGUAAUCAGAAACCAUUCUCAGGAGUAUUUGGUGGGGACUCUGUGUGCCUCCAGAUAAGCCCCUGCAAAAGGAAACAUGGGGAUUGUGAGGAAAGGGGAAUUAGUUCAUCCACAAGCAAAUUUGUGAUAAUUUGUACUCCCAGUGUUGAUUCAGUCCUCAUGUUAAAGAAAGAGAUGAUCUUUAUUUAAAAAAAUAUAAUUUAAAAACCAAAACAACCCCUGAGCCAGCUCAGCAGUCUUUUGUGCCUCCACAUAUUGGACUAGAACCAGACAUACAUGGCCAGACUACCUCUUGCCCAUUGUAUCAUUAAGAACCUUCAGGCCAGCAGCCUUGUUGAGAAAGAUUUCCUUAGCCCUCCCACAUCAAAACAGCCUGAGAUUUACAGUAAGAGCAAUAAGCUCAACUUAGUCACAGCACCAGCUCUGUCUGAGGCUGUGGAGCUCCAAUCCUCAGGCCAAGUAGGUACAGGUUACUGCUGAGUAGGACAGGGGGCACACACUUUAGUGACUAUAAACAAACCUGCCUUGGAAACCUGCUUACAUAAAAUAAUUUUAAAACAUACUAAUCAUCUAAGGAGCUCUGAUAACUCAAAAGGAGAAAAAGACUCUUCUAUGGGUCUUGGCACUCUUUGAUCCAGCUGAGACUUAGAGGAGGGUGUAAUGAUGCUGGUUCUGGUGGGACCCAACUGAGAGUGCCAGUUCAGGAUAAAUUGCUUAAAGCAGGGCAGUUACAGCCCAAGACUGGGGUUUUUCCACCUCUAAGGCAAACCAAACCAGCCAGCCAGAGAGGACUUUGGUUUUAUCCCACUGGCUAACCACAAGUCACACAAGCAAUUCCCUUAGACACUCCAGUUUCCCAGAAUCACCACCAGUGCCACUAUUUAUGGGGAUAAAUGGUUAUAAAAACCAAUACCCCAGUAAAAGAAAAAAGGUUCUCCCGAUCCCAAAGGACCAAGCCCCAGACCCAGGUCAAUAUACAAAUCAGACCUUACUCACAAAUCACGCUGUUGCCAAUCCUUUAGAAUCUAAAGUCUAAAGAUUUAUUCAUAAAAGGAAAAAAGAUAUAGAUGAGAGCAAGAAUUGGUUAAAUGGAAUCAAUUACAUACAGUAAUGGCAAAGUUCUUAAUUCAGGCUUGUAGCAGUGAUGGAAUAAACUGCAAGUUCAAAUCAAGUCUCUGGAGUACAUCCACAUCUAGGAUGGGUCAUCAGUUCUUUGUGUAGAGCUUCCAUUUGUAGCAAAGUCCCUCCAGAGGUAAGAAGCAGGAUUGAAGACAAGGUAGAGGAGCUGCAGCAGCUUUUUAUAGUCUCUUGCCAUGUGGUCUCUGCUUUCUUUGUCCCAAAGACAAGCUGUCUAUCACAUGGCAUGGAAAAACCUCAGAGUUCUGGCCAUAGGCAUGUCCCUGCAUACCUUGCUGAGUUACAAGGUGUAUCUGCCUUCUUUCAAUGUGUCGGUUGUAUACCUGAUGGUCCUUAAUAGACCAUCAAGCAGGCUAGGCAGAGCUGACACCAACUUGUUUGGGGUGUCACCCAGAAGCAUAGCAUAAGUUUGAUAUACAGACAGUAUAGAGCCAGUAUAGAGCCAAUAUUCAUAAUUUCAACUCCAAAGUCACAAGAUGGAGACCAAGUUCUACCACUGCACCAAAUUUUCAUCAUUAAUUGAUGUGAACACCUAUCUACAUGUUAUUAUGCAACCGUGCUGGAGGAGAUACCAGCAUCAUGUGCAACAGACUACAUUACCCAUAUAGCCCUUUAUUCUGUGGCCUACCUGCCUUUCUCAGGCUGUCCUCCAAAGUGCUAGUUAACAUUGUUUCUCCUCAAGCAGAAAAAGAUUCUUGUAUACAUGUGCUAAGAUGACUUGCUCAUCAGAGCACUGUUCCUGGAAAAUGCCCACACAAAAGAGAUACCAUACAGUUCAUAUUCUUUCCUGGAACAAUAUAGUUUGUCAAUAUCACAAACAUCUAAAUGAGAUCAUACUGGCACUAUUACUUCUGGGAAUAGUUAUAACUAUCAACCUCCACUCCAAGCCAGUGGUCAGGAGGCACAGUGUCCUUUGUUCUCCAGUCACAUCUGUCAGGGCUCUGUUGUCUUGGAUAAGAACAGAGGUCUCUAGGAACAACAUACUGUUGUGAGACUCCACAUGGAUUUUCUCCAUAAAUUUCUUGAGCAUGUAGGACUGUCUUUUUUGUGCCAUUGCCAGGGGUACUUGGAAGAGAGGGUAUGUAGCAAUGAGAGGAUUGGUGGAGAUAAUCUAUAGCAGCUUCAAAAGCAGGAAACCUCAUUCAGGGAACAAAUUUCAUCCAAAGUUAAUGCAAGAACAGACUUCUAACACAGUAUCAAGGGGAUCAAAAUAAUUAGGCCUUAAGAGCAGUCCUGAUCAGCCAAGAUGUAGCAGUGAUCCCUUACAACACUUCAGCAAUAGCUUUAAACAAGGACAGAGGUACCAGGUCCUCAACCUGGAUGAGCAUCUAAUCUUCGCUGUUCCUGGCUGCAUAUUUUGAAAAGAGCAAAAAAAAAUCUUCUGUAUAUUCAAGCACUACAUAUAGAAUAAAUAAAUAUAGCAGGUGGUUAAAGUAAAGGAAAAAUCCAGAAGAGCGGAGUCUAUAGCCUAAGGUCUUUGAGUGCAGAGUCAGCCCUGAGUCACCUGUGUGUCAAUGGACAUAUCUGCAGCCAGAACCCAGCAAAGACGAGUCUCUUUUCUGAUGAAGAAAUUAAUAGGCUGCAGGCAUGAUUAUGCACCUUUCUUCCAGGGCCAAAAGCCUGACUUUCUUUUUCUGAUCACAGUAUUCUCCAGGAUCUCCAGGACAAACCAACAAGGCAGAAGUGAGCCAUGAUGGCCUCCAUGCUGUCAAGGGAAAUUCUAGGUCUCAUGUAGAAUUCAGUUGUCAACCACCACUCAGCUAUGUCUCCUCUACAAAAA